AUCUGAACCUUCGGGGAACGAUAACGGCGUCGAGCGGCGGACGGGUGAGUAAUGCCUAGGAAAUUGCCCUGAUGUGGGGGAUAACCAUUGGAAACGAUGGCUAAUACCGCAUGAUGCCUACGGGCCAAAGAGGGGGACCUUCGGGCCUCUCGCGUCAGGAUAUGCCUAGGUGGGAUUAGCUAGUUGGUGAGGUAAGGGCUCACCAAGGCGACGAUCCCUAGCUGGUCUGAGAGGAUGAUCAGCCACACUGGAACUGAGACACGGUCCAGACUCCUACGGGAGGCAGCAGUGGGGAAUAUUGCACAAUGGGCGCAAGCCUGAUGCAGCCAUGCCGCGUGUGUGAAGAAGGCCUUCGGGUUGUAAAGCACUUUCAGUCGUGAGGAAGGUAGUGUAGUUAAUAGCUGCAUUAUUUGACGUUAGCGACAGAAGAAGCACCGGCUAACUCCGUGCCAGCAGCCGCGGUAAUACGGAGGGUGCGAGCGUUAAUCGGAAUUACUGGGCGUAAAGCGCAUGCAGGUGGUUUGUUAAGUCAGAUGUGAAAGCCCGGGGCUCAACCUCGGAAUAGCAUUUGAAACUGGCAGACUAGAGUACUGUAGAGGGGGGUAGAAUUUCAGGUGUAGCGGUGAAAUGCGUAGAGAUCUGAAGGAAUACCGGUGGCGAAGGCGGCCCCCUGGACAGAUACUGACACUCAGAUGCGAAAGCGUGGGGAGCAAACAGGAUUAGAUACCCUGGUAGUCCACGCCGUAAACGAUGUCUACUUGGAGGUUGUGGCCUUGAGCCGUGGCUUUCGGAGCUAACGCGUUAAGUAGACCGCCUGGGGAGUACGGUCGCAAGAUUAAAACUCAAAUGAAUUGACGGGGGCCCGCACAAGCGGUGGAGCAUGUGGUUUAAUUCGAUGCAACGCGAAGAACCUUACCUACUCUUGACAUCCAGAGAACUUUCCAGAGAUGGAUUGGUGCCUUCGGGAACUCUGAGACAGGUGCUGCAUGGCUGUCGUCAGCUCGUGUUGUGAAAUGUUGGGUUAAGUCCCGCAACGAGCGCAACCCUUAUCCUUGUUUGCCAGCGAGUAAUGUCGGGAACUCCAGGGAGACUGCCGGUGAUAAACCGGAGGAAGGUGGGGACGACGUCAAGUCAUCAUGGCCCUUACGAGUAGGGCUACACACGUGCUACAAUGGCGCAUACAGAGGGCGGCCAACUUGCGAAAGUGAGCGAAUCCCAAAAAGUGCGUCGUAGUCCGGAUUGGAGUCUGCAACUCGACUCCAUGAAGUCGGAAUCGCUAGUAAUCGUGGAUCAGAAUGCCACGGUGAAUACGUUCCCGGGCCUUGUACACACCGCCCGUCACACCAUGGGAGUGGGCUGCAAAAGAAGUAGGUUAGUU
rnacentral:rRNA from 1 species